rnacentral:rRNA from 1 species
GACAGAGGCCCCAAGCGUUAGUCGGAAUUACUGGGCUUAAAGGGUGCGUAGGCGGGCGCGUAAGUGUUCUGUGAAAUCCCCGGGCUCAACCCCGGGAACCGCAGGGCAUACUGCGCGUCUCGAGGAAGCUAGAGGCCGGCGGAACGAUCGGUGGAGCGGUGGAAUGCGUAGAGAUCGAUCGGAACGCCAAGGGUGAAGACAGCCGGCUGGGGCUUUCCUGACGCUGAGGCACGAAAGCGCGGGGAUCAAACAGG